rnacentral:lncRNA from 1 species
UUCAAAUAGAAUACUAUCGAUCCUAUAUAAUACUAGACCCAAAUGACUCGAACAUCACUCAGACCCAUCAGCUGCCUGUCUAACGUCAACCCAGACCAUCUUUAGAACCUGCCACAUUCAAUGAUGCACAAUGAACUCUAUAAUUGCUAUGUGAGGAGAAUCAUUUCUCCUACAUGGUUAGUUCCAAAAAUAUAUUCCUAACAUAUCAAUCAUCCUAAGUCUCUUAAGCAUUGAUAACAUCUUGACCAAUCGAUCUAAGAAACACCCAGCCACUUAGUUUAGAUCCGCUAGGUAUGGUUCAUUACCAAGGGAAGGCCUUGGCGAAUUCCUUCAAUCCAUCGGCUGCCUUAACCAAUUCCCUAGCAUCUCAUACAAAUGAUCUCCCCAUUAGCCUUGCCCAACCAUACGACCAUACUUAGGGUCUAUAUAUAGCUGGUUUGAGUAAUCUACAUGAAUCCACCAAACAAAGGUAAUACACUCGGCCUCAAUGCCUUAUUUAUCGAUCACACUAUAGUUAAUAAAUCCAACACACAAUUCCUAAUCGAACCAAAGGCCAUGACCACUAAUAGGCCAGUCAUAGACCCUCGAUUCCAAACCUGCAUCAUUGCACUCACCGUAUCCCAUCAGUAAGAAAUAAUUAAAAGGAAGAAAAUAUCUAAACACAAAGGAACUCUUUUGGUCUUUUCCACAAACCGCCAACCUACCUUGCCUGACUGCUUCACGGGUCCAUCCGCCCACUUGCCAGGUUGGGUCGACCACCAGGCCUUAACCGUUUUCUGGUUAACCCUCUCUCGCUCCCUCUUUCACCAAACUCUCCCUCUCUUUAUCUCUCUUUCUCUCUUGAUUUCUAUGGUGGUUUCUAAUAGGAAUUAAUUCCAAAAGAGAAAGUGGCGAUGAGUAUUAUAAACAAAGAGAAAUGCACAAUGGGACACCAUUGGCCAAGGGCCAAAAUGGUGUGAGUUACACUGGUGACCAUUCGGCCAAUCUUUGUGUCCUUUCGGCCAUGCACUCACAAACCUUCGCUCAUCCACUCGUAACCCUUAGCCCAUAACUACCCAAUCGAACCUUUACC